ACUAAGUUACAUUUUCCUGAUCACUCUAGACGGAUAUGGACUACUGCAUUUCGACCCAUUUGAAUACCCGAGAAAUGGUCUAUCUGUGGGCUACCUCCCACCUGGGGGUUAGGUUUGUGUCUUUAAUAAACCCGAGCUUAAUCCAUUUUUUUUACAAAAAAAAAAGUUAGUUUGUUUCCUUAUUAUCAAUGAAGAUGGUCGGACUCAAUAAGAGUGCUAGGUUCGGCAAGAUAUGAUCCACUAUCAACACAUAAUAUUGGGACCAUAUAGCUAUAAGCCUAUAAUAAAAUCAUAUAUAUGCAGAACUUCGUACUUGGAAAAUUUAUAUUAUGUGACCUGUCCAUAGUCCAUACAGAUCCAUAACAACAGCUUUAUAUAUAAGUUAAAUAAAUUAACGAGAAAUUUUAAUUUGGAGAAUUUGUAUAACACACGCGAUUCAUUGAAAUUCAGUAAUGCAUAGGUACAUUGCUUGAAAUAUUCAGAAGCUAGUACAGUUGAUUAGAAGAUAAGUGCUAAUUUAACUUCGAACUAAGAGAUGCAUGUAUAGUGGAGUUACUGGAGUAUAUCUAUCUAUCUUUGCAUAUUUUUAUUUCUCAGGGGUCGUCACAAAUUAAAAUUUGCUGAUUAUAUAAUGUGUUCUAAAUAUAUUAUCUAUAGUUCCGAAGUAAACUAAUGAAAUCGAACGAAUCUUUUUUUUUUUUUUGUAAAAUAAAUCGAACGAAUCUUUAUACUCUCAUGUAGCAUCAAGUCGUGUUAAGGUUUUUUCAAAAUAUGAAUGUCGGCUGCAACUGGUUUUAAGUUACAGAAAUAUGAGGAAUAUGAUGAAUUAAAAAAAAAUGGAAUAUGAGUAAAUGGAACAGUGGCAGUUAUAAAAAUAAAUAGAAUGGAAAUAUAAGUAUCUACUCAACAUGAAUGGUAGUUAUUUGCAUGAAUGUAGUGGAAUGAAAAUAGAUUUAUUUUGAAUUAAAUAAAAGCUCUAAUUAAUAUAAAAUUCUUAUUUUAUUUUUCAUUCCUUUCAUUCCUUACAUUCACGAGAUUUUUUUUUGCUGAAUGUUUUUCAACUACAUUCCAUUGCAUUUCACAUAUUUCAUUAUAUUCUAUUUCUUGCAUUUUAUUUUUAAUUCAUCUCUAAUGGUAACAUUUUUGUGGAAUCUUCAUGAAUAACUCAUUCCACAUAAUUAUAUUCUAAAAUAUGUGCAUCCAGUUGCAGCCGUAUACUUUUCUCUGUAGUAAAACUAUAAAACAUGUCUUCCAACAAGUUCAAAG
rnacentral:lncRNA from 1 species